UACGAAGGGGGCGAGCGUUGUUCGGAAUUACUGGGCGUAAAGGGCGCGCAGGCGGCCUUAGAAGUCAGAUGUGAAAGCCCCGGGCUCAACCUGGGAAUGGCAUUUGAUACUCUGAGGCUGGAGUACGGGAGAGGAGAGUGGAAUUCCCGGUGUAGCGGUGAAAUGCGUAGAUAUCGGGAAGAACACCAAAGGCGAAAGCGCUCUGCUGGGCCGAAACUGACACUGAGAGACGAAAGCUAGGGGAGCGAAUGGG
rnacentral:rRNA from 1 species